UGAACGCUGGCGGCGUGCCUAAUACAUGCAAGUCGAGCGAACGGACGAGAAGCUUGCUUCUCUGAUGUUAGCGGCGGACGGGUGAGUAACACGUGGAUAACCUACCUAUAAGACUGGGAUAACUUCGGGAAACCGGAGCUAAUACCGGAUAAUAUUUUGAACCGCAUGGUUCAAAAGUGAAAGACGGUCUUGCUGUCACUUAUAGAUGGAUCCGCGCUGCAUUAGCUAGUUGGUAAGGUAACGGCUUACCAAGGCAACGAUGCAUAGCCGACCUGAGAGGGUGAUCGGCCACACUGGAACUGAGACACGGUCCAGACUCCUACGGGAGGCAGCAGUAGGGAAUCUUCCGCAAUGGGCGAAAGCCUGACGGAGCAACGCCGCGUGAGUGAUGAAGGUCUUCGGAUCGUAAAACUCUGUUAUUAGGGAAGAACAUAUGUGUAAGUAACUGUGCACAUCUUGACGGUACCUAAUCAGAAAGCCACGGCUAACUACGUGCCAGCAGCCGCGGUAAUACGUAGGUGGCAAGCGUUAUCCGGAAUUAUUGGGCGUAAAGCGCGCGUAGGCGGUUUUUUAAGUCUGAUGUGAAAGCCCACGGCUCAACCGUGGAGGGUCAUUGGAAACUGGAAAACUUGAGUGCAGAAGAGGAAAGUGGAAUUCCAUGUGUAGCGGUGAAAUGCGCAGAGAUAUGGAGGAACACCAGUGGCGAAGGCGACUUUCUGGUCUGUAACUGACGCUGAUGUGCGAAAGCGUGGGGAUCAAACAGGAUUAGAUACCCUGGUAGUCCACGCCGUAAACGAUGAGUGCUAAGUGUUAGGGGGUUUCCGCCCCUUAGUGCUGCAGCUAACGCAUUAAGCACUCCGCCUGGGGAGUACGACCGCAAGGUUGAAACUCAAAGGAAUUGACGGGGACCCGCACAAGCGGUGGAGCAUGUGGUUUAAUUCGAAGCAACGCGAAGAACCUUACCAAAUCUUGACAUCCUUUGACAACUCUAGAGAUAGAGCUUUCCCCUUCGGGGGACAAAGUGACAGGUGGUGCAUGGUUGUCGUCAGCUCGUGUCGUGAGAUGUUGGGUUAAGUCCCGCAACGAGCGCAACCCUUAAGCUUAGUUGCCAUCAUUAAGUUGGGCACUCUAAGUUGACUGCCGGUGACAAACCGGAGGAAGGUGGGGAUGACGUCAAAUCAUCAUGCCCCUUAUGAUUUGGGCUACACACGUGCUACAAUGGACAAUACAAAGGGCAGCGAAACCGCGAGGUCAAGCAAAUCCCAUAAAGUUGUUCUCAGUUCGGAUUGUAGUCUGCAACUCGACUACAUGAAGCUGGAAUCGCUAGUAAUCGUAGAUCAGCAUGCUACGGUGAAUACGUUCCCGGGUCUUGUACACACCGCCCGUCACACCACGAGAGUUUGUAACACCCGAAGCCGGUGGAGUAACCUUUUAGGAGCUAGCCGUCGAAGGUGGGACAAAUGAUUGGGGUGAAGUCGUAACAAGGUAGCCGUAUCGGAAGGUGCGGCUG
rnacentral:rRNA from 1 species